rnacentral:rRNA from 1 species
UCCUACGGGAGGUAGCAGUGGGGAAUAUUGGACAAUGGGCGAAAGCCAGAUCCAGCAAUGCCGCGUGAGUGAAGAAGGCCUUCGGGUUGUAAAGCUCUUUUACCCGGGAAGAUAAUGACUGUACCGGGAGAAUAAGCCCCGGCUAACUCCGUGCCAGCAGCCGCGGUAAUACGGAGGGGGCUAGCGUUGUUCGGAAUUACUGGGCGUAAAGCGUACGUAGGCGGCUUUGUAAGUCAGAGGUGAAAGCCCACGACUCAAUCGUGGAACUGCCUUUGAGACUGCUUCGCUUGAAGAUGGGAGAGGUUAGUGGAAUUCCGAGUGUAGAGGUGAAAUUCGUAGAUAUUCGGAAGAACACCAGUGGCGAAGGCGGCUAACUGGACCAUUCUUGACGCUGGGGUACGAAAGCGUGGGGAGCAAACAGGAUUAGAUACCCUGGUAG